AUGCAAAUCACCUGGGCAUCUUGUUAAAAUCCAAAUUCUGAUUUAACAGGACUGGGAGGGGCCUGAGAGUCUACAUUUCUAACAAGCUCCCAGUGAUGUUGAU
rnacentral:pre_miRNA from 1 species